GUAGUAUUCCCUCCGUCCCAAAAUUCUUGUCUUACAUUUGUUUAGAUACGGAUGUAUCUAACACUAAAAUGUAACUAGAUACAUCCGUAUUUAGAUAAAUUUAAGACAAGAAUUUUGGGAUGGAGGGAGUACAAA
rnacentral:pre_miRNA from 1 species